UACGAAGGGGGCUAGCGUUGCUCGGAAUGACUGGGCGUAAAGGGCGCGUAGGCGGUGAUCACAGUCAGACGUGAAAUCCCUCGGCUUAACCGGGGAACUGCGUCUGAUACUGGAUGGCUUGAGUUUGGGAGAGGGAUGCGGAAUUCCAGGUGUAGCGGUGAAAUGCGUAGAUAUCUGGAGGAACACCGGUGGCGAAGGCGGCAUCCUGGACCAACACUGACACUGAGGAGCGAAAGCCAGGGGAGCAAACGGG
rnacentral:rRNA from 1 species